rnacentral:rRNA from 1 species
UACGUAGGUGGCGAGCGUUGUCCGGAUUUAUUGGGCGUAAAGGGCGCGCAGGCGGCCUGUUAAGUCUGGUGUGAAAGCUCCCGGCUCACCUGGGAGAGGGCGCUGGAGACUGGCAGGCUGGAGGGAGGCAGAGGCCGGUGGAAUUCCCGGUGUAGUGGUGAAAUGCGUAGAUAUCGGGAGGAACACCAGUGGCGAAGGCGGCCGGCUGGGCCUUACCUGACGCUGAGGCGCGAAAGCGUGGGGAGCGAACCGG